UCCCUCUUAGCUCAGUGGUAGAGCGCGUCACUAGUACUUUACGAAAUGACGAGGUCAGUCGUUCAAGUCGGCUAGAGGGAA